GUAUGUGAGAAUGAUUUGGCUAAGACAGCUGUAGCCCCACUGAUCACCAGGGUUGAUUCAGCUAAUCUAGCUGGCUGGUAGAGUGUCCCUUUCCUUCUUCCCCGCUCCCUGUGCUCUUGAAGCUAUGUGCUCGUAGGUAGGAGAGAACUAACCACCUCAGAGAGAGAAGGACUGACUCCUCCAUCAAGAGUGUACAAGUAGCUACUUAUGUGUAUAAAAGGUUAUAUUAAUAUGUUGAGCUGCUCUUACAUUUCUAUAUAAAAAUAGAAUAAAAUAGUAAAACUAUACAUUAUAUAAGUCUUACAGAUGUUCAUGUUCAU
rnacentral:snRNA from 1 species